AUACGGAGGGGGUUAGCGUUGUUCGGAUUUACUGGGCGUAAAGGGCGCGUAGGCGGCCCAUAAAGUCAGGCGUGAAAGCCCCGGGCUCAACCUGGGAACUGCGUUUGAAACGUGUGGGCUAGAGUCCGGGAGAGGAUGGUGGAAUUCCCAGUGUAGAGGUGAAAUUCGUAGAUAUUGGGAAGAACACCGGUGGCGAAGGCGGCCAUCUGGACCGGUACUGACGCUAAGGCGCGAAAGCGUGGGGAGCAAACAGGAUUAGAUACCCCAGUAGUCC
rnacentral:rRNA from 1 species